AACGUAGGUGACAAGCGUUAUCCGGAUUUACUGGGCGUAAAGCGCGUUCAGGCGGUUUGGCAAGUCGGGCAUGAAAUCUCCUGGCUCAACCAGGAGGGGCUGUCCGAUACUUCCAGACUUGAGGGCAGUAGAGGGUGGUGGAAUUCCGGGUGUAGUGGUGAAAUGCGUUGAUAUCUACAGGAACUCCGGUGGCGAAAGCGACGUGCUGGACCUUUCUGACGCUGAGGCGCGAAAGCUAGGGGAGCAAACGGG
rnacentral:rRNA from 1 species